UACGGAGGGUGCAAGCGUUAUCCGGAUUCACUGGGUUUAAAGGGUGCGUAGGCGGGCAGGUAAGUCAGUGGUGAAAUCUUCAAGCUUAACUUGGAAACUGCCAUUGAUACUAUCUGUCUUGAAUGUUCUGGAGGUUAGCGGAAUAUGUCAUGUAGCGGUGAAAUGCUUAGAUAUGACAUAGAACACCUAUUGCGAAGGCAGCUAACUACGGAAAUAUUGACGCUGAGGCACGAAAGCGUGGGGAUCAAACAGG
rnacentral:rRNA from 1 species